rnacentral:lncRNA from 1 species
UGACCUCAGGUGAUCCACCUGCCUCGGCCUCCCAAAGUGCUGGGAUUACAGACGUGAGCCACCGAGCCUGGCCAAAUCAGUUAAUUAUAUUAGUAUUUACGUGGUCUUAAGAUCUUAGCUUAAUGAACCAAAUGUGAUUUGUCAAAAUUGACAACUGGGAAGGAAGGCCAAGAAUCUGAAAGAAAGACCAGAGAUUAUGCACAAACUGGAACAGCAGAUGAAUACCCAAGUGGACAAGGCAGACUUCUGAUCAUGCAGCAUCCACAUCUUCAUGUUCAUGAGGCAAAUAACCUCCUCUUUUCUAGCACUGGGGCACUGGAGUGAGGAUGAUAAUCAUUUUAUCUCGUGGAUCUGGUCCUGUUUCCAGUAGUCACACUGCUCUGGCAUGGUGCUGGCAUCAACUCUUCAUAAAACUGCCAGAUCCAGAUCUUAGCCAACGUUAAAUUCUUGGCGAGGGCCUUGCGAACCUUCUUAGAAAUUACCUUACAAUCUUAACAACCAGAAGAAAAAAAAUAAA